AUUGAACGCUGGCGGCAUGCCUUACACAUGCAAGUCGAACGGCAGCACGGGUGCUUGCACCUGGUGGCGAGUGGCGAACGGGUGAGUAAUAUAUCGGAACGUACCUUAUCGUGGGGGAUAACGCAGCGAAAGCUGCGCUAAUACCGCAUACGCCCUGAGGGGGAAAGCGGGGGACCGUAAGGCCUCGCGCGAUUAGAGCGGCCGAUAUCUGAUUAGCUUGUUGGUGGGGUAAAAGCCCACCAAGGCGACGAUCAGUAGCUGGUCUGAGAGGACGAUCAGCCACACUGGGACUGAGACACGGCCCAGACUCCUACGGGAGGCAGCAGUGGGGAAUUUUGGACAAUGGGGGCAACCCUGAUCCAGCAAUGCCGCGUGAGUGAAGAAGGCCUUCGGGUU
rnacentral:rRNA from 1 species